rnacentral:lncRNA from 1 species
CGCCUGACACCAAAAUGCAUUCAAGAUGCAAAGGCCGACAUCUUUAACUGUACCAAGUGCAACUUAGUCAGAGUUUCUCCUCACUCAAGCUUAAGCCUUUCUCUAAACCAAACCUAGCCCAAGAAAACCCAACCUAGCUAUCAAGGUUGUGAUAGGAUAGACUUAUAUCAAUGUGCUUAACUUGCGGAAUUGCAAGAGCACUGCUUAAGCAUCAGCAACUAUUGCCUGAAAUAAAGCCCAACAUGAGAUAGUGAUUGUAUGAGUCAAUCAUGUUACAUCCUUAAGCCCGCAACACACACUUAGUUGGGUGGUGUCAUACUUAAGUUGUUUUGAGGAGUUAUGAUUGGAAAAUGAGAUAGUUUGUUGGUAAUGUAGAUGUGAUCUUGAGAAGAUAGUCAAAGAUGUUCGGUGGAUUUUGAGAUUUUAGGUAUAGUAGGUGAGCAUGGUGAUUAUUAUAUUUGUGAAUAACCUGGUGCAUGUAGCUCCCGCUUGCGCAGGGUCCAGGGAAGGGUCCGACCACUUUGGGUCUAUAGUACGCAGCCUUUCCCUACAUUUCUGUAAGAGGCUGUUUCCAGGACUUGAACCCAUGACCUCAUGGUCACAAGGCAGCAGCUUUACCACUGCGCCAAGGCUCCCCUUCACAUAUUUGUGAAUAACAAUAUAAUUAAUUAAUCUUGAAACAAUUUGGAUUUAGUUAGGCGAUUGUGAAUUUGUGAUUUUGAACCAAAUUUCAUGGUGGAUUACGAGAUUUAGUUGGAUUUAGUUAGGUGAUUGGGAUCUCGAGAAGAUAGUCAAACUUGUUCUGUGGAUUAUGAGAUAUUAGGUCUAAUAGGUGAGCAUGAUGAGUAUUAUAUCGGUGGAUAAAAAGAUCUUGAAUUAAUCUUUGAACAAUUUGGAUUUAGUUUGUGAGAUUGUGAUCUUGGACCAAAUUUCAUGGAGAAUUAUGAGAUUUUAGGUGGAUUUAAUUUGGUGAUUGUGAUCUUCAGAAGAUAGUCAAAGAUGUUUAGUGGAUAAUAAAAUUUUAGGUCUAGUAGGCAAGGAUGAUGAUUAUUAUAUUAGUGGAUAAAUAGAUCUUCAAUUAGUCUUGGACAAUUUGGAUUUAGUUAGGUGAUUAUGAUUUUGACCCAAAUUUCACGUUAGAUUAUGAGAUUUCAGGUGAAUUUUAGUUGAUAUGACUUUUGAGGAGGCAGUCAAAGAUGUUUGGUGGAUUAUGAGAUUUUAGGUUUAGUAGGUGAGCAUGAUGAUUAUUGCAUUGGUGCAUAAAUAGAUCUUUAAUUAAUCUUGGAACAAUUUGGGCUGAGUAUGCAUGCUUUGAAGAUUCAUGGGAUAGAACAUACCCCGUAUCAACACUAUUCCAGAAAGACCGCCACACUUUGGCCCAUGACUUUAAGCAGUAUGAAGUGCUGAAACAGAACC